UGAGGAAUAUUGGACAAUGGGCGCAAGCCUGAUCCAGCCAUGCCGCGUGCAGGAAGAAGCAUCUAUGGUGUGUAAACUGCUUUUGUACGGGAAGAAACACUCCUUCGUGAAGGAGCUUGACGGUACCGUAAGAAUAAGGAUCGGCUAACUCCGUGCCAGCAGCCGCGGUACUACGGAGGAUCCAAGCGUUAUCCGGAAUCAUUGGGUUUAAAGGGUCCGUAGGCGGUUUAGUAAGUCAGUGGUAAAAGCCCAUCGCUCAACGAUGGAACGGCCAUUGAUACUGCUAGACUUGAAUUACAAGGAAGUAACUAGAAUAUGUAGUGUAGCGGUGAAAUGCUUAGAUAUUACAUUGAAUACCAAUUGCGGAGGCAGGUUACUACGUGUGGAUUGACGCUGAUGGACGAAAGCGUGGGGAGCGAACA
rnacentral:rRNA from 1 species